rnacentral:rRNA from 1 species
GACGAACGCUGGCGGCGUGCCUAAUACAUGCAAGUAGAACGCUGAAGGAGGAGCUUGCUUCUCUGGAUGAGUUGCGAACGGGUGAGUAACGCGUAGGUAACCUGCCUGGUAGCGGGGGAUAACUAUUGGAAACGAUAGCUAAUACCGCAUAAGAGUAGAUGUUGCAUGACAUUUGCUUAAAAGGUGCAAUUGCAUCACUACCAGAUGGACCUGCGUUGUAUUAGCUAGUUGUUGGGGUAACGACUCACCAAGGCGACGAUACAUAGCCGACCGGAGAGGGUGAUCGGCCACACUGGGACUGAGACACGGCCCAGAGUCCUACGGGAGGCAGCAGUAGGGAAUCUUCGGCAAUGGACGGAAGUCUGACCGAGCAACGCCGCGUGAGUGAAGAAGGUUUUCGGAUCGUAAAGCUCUGUUGUAAGAGAAGAACGAGUGUGAGAGUGGAAAGUUCACACUGUGACGGUAUCUUACCAGAAAGGGACGGCUAACUACGUG